UUGAUAACUGAGCGUGCAGUCAGUUAACUGUAGCUACGGGUGCUUCAUUGUGUUUAGCUCUUCUUUGCUAUGAGCUCUUCUGGUCUGAUGUAUCCAACUCUGUUUUUCUUUGUAUUGACAGGCAUGUCCAGGUAACUGCAGCUUGGAGACCAACUCUAAUUCAAUGAACAACUCGUCCACAUCUGAAGAGACAUGCGCCUUUCCUGGUCGUUUCAUUGAAGGAGUUAAAAGUCUGUCAAGAAACCCUCACUUUAAUGCAACCCUUGACAACCGGAGUGUCUUAGAACAUCUGGUCGACAGACUAGAACAAGCUCGUAGUUGCUCAACAAUGGUGGACAUGUAUUGCUCAGACAGCAGGAAAUCAGAUCCCAUCGUUUCAGCAAUUGAUCUCCAGAGCAAACUGAAAACGCUGAUGCAAAUGUACAAAUCGAAAUGUGGUAGACGAAACUGAGCCAUGCACCAAACUCGGAGCUUUGGAAAUCAUUGGUCAUUUUUUGGGUAAUUUUGUUGUUGCUGCAGGGGAUCAAUGUUUCUUAGCAUGUUGGUGAAGACAUGUAUGAAUGUUUCAUACCUCCAGACUAAAUUUGAUUAUUAUUUCUGUGUAAAUCCAUUUCCAUUCUCACUUGGAUUUUUGUGUUUUUACACUCAGUCCAGUUGUUCCACCUUUUUUUUUUUAUUGUAGGUCAGAACGAAUCUGGACAAAAUGUUGUAACCCAAGAAAAAAAAAUUACUAAUCUGCAUGAAGAAGUAGUCAAUGAAUACCUCUGUAUUAGUUUGUGACCAUUUCCCAAAGUUUCUUUUUUUUAUUACAAUUAACCACCUGGUGAUUCCAAAAAGUUUGUUAAACACUAUGUCAGUAUAAAACAGUACAUAUAUAAAAUGUAACCUUAUGAAGUUGAUCAUGACUUGUGCUACGUAGUUUUGAAAAGUUUACUCAUUAUUUAUUUUAUUUAUCAUUAAUUUAUCAAUAUGGUGUAGAUGCAUAUUGAGAUAUUUGUCUUUGGUUUUGUGUAUUUAUAUAUGUUAUAAAUGGUUGAGCUUGUUUGAUUUCAAUAUGUAACAUCAUACUGAUGUCUUAAGGCAUGAUGUAAGGAUCCUUUUCUAGUUUGGUCAUAUUGAACAGUGAGGACUAUUAAAUCCUAAUACCCUUGUCUUUUAUUUUUUCUGAAAUUUGUUUGUUGUU